rnacentral:lncRNA from 1 species
GCGGCAGACGGAGUCUCGUAGAUGGGAACAGAGCUCCAGCAGCAAUAGGUAUUCCAAUAAUGUUGUAUCCAAGAGCCCAUACAUAAUUCAUUCGGAUUCGGGAGAAAGUCUUUCUCGAGAGGUCGAUCGCCGUUAUCACGUCCUCUAGAUUACUCUUCAUGAGGACAAUGUCAGCUGCAAGAAAGAUCUAAUAUACUUUGUGCAAUUCUCAUAACUAUAAAAUUAUUAAAUUAAGUAGCUUAAAUUUUUAAAGUCAAAUUAAGUAUCGCCAACUGGCUCAAAUUAAAUAAAUUAAAAGGUUGGUUAGUAAAAUCAACAUUUGAAAAGUUCGAUAGCCAACUAAAAAUAGUCCAUUAUAUAUUCAGAUAAAUUUUGUAUAUUUUGAUCAAAUAUAUAUCUAUAAUGCUGGGGUUCAUUUAGAAUAUUUAAUUGUUGUUACACUAACAAACAAUAGCAUAUGAGACAUGCUUAUCUGCUCAUUUCCGUGCAUCAUCUACAGGGAGCGAGAGAGUAAACUAAGGGCUAGCUCGUUUAGUAUUAAGACCUAUCUAAUAAUAAUAACGAAAAUAGAGUUGGAGUGACAUUGAUCAUAUUGAAGUAUACUUCUACGUUUUUUAUUGACACCGCAGAAAAUAUAUAUAUCGUAAUCAUUUAAUUACGAUAUACAAAAUAGUGAAAUUACGUAACGCAAUCUCCCCAUAAUUUCAAAUAUAGCCUAAGCGACGGACGGGGUGCAGCAGUGGACUAGGUUCCGUGGAAAUUAACCUCAUAGUGACCUCACGUGAUGUUUAGUUUAAUUAUUGUUUUGUUCAAAUGGAGUUUAAAAUUUGAAUGAUGAGGAAAAUGUCAAAGGAUUUUAGUCAGCGCGUUGCAAGUGGCGGGCUCACAAAAAAUAUCCGUGGGCUCGUCGUCCUUCUUUAAUGGGCCCUUUGAAUUUUGGCAUGGAAGGAUUUGGAUCUCAAUAUAACACGGCAUUUAUUAAUUCACGAGCAACAAAAAGAGAAAAAAAAAAGAAAAAGAAAAAGAAGGGGACGUUAUAUAGACUUUUUGUUCGUAGGACUAGUCCCUUUGCAGAGGACUUUUGGUCCUGUGAAUCAGGCGCCGUUAAUCGUGCACCAUAGACUGAAAUCGAUGGUGCGAUCUGCGUCGACACAAGUGCAUGCACAUAUAGAUAUCUUGGAUAACAAUGGAGCAACUGAGAAAUGCAGCAAGAUAUUUAUGUUUAUCAAGCCAAAUGGUAUUUACAGUGUUCUGCUUAUUUUUAUUCAAUCAUGCACAGAAACUAAGCCACCACUCGCACCUCUUUUUCAAGUUUUUGAUAACAAAAGGAAAGGAAAGCACACUCAACAUUUUUUUUGUCCCCUGAACAACUUUACCUUAUUCUUACUAUAUUGCAUGUUCACAUCUAUUUAGUUGAUUAUAAUUUGUUCCAUCCGAAGGCGAUCUAGCUCCUUGGGCCUUCUGUAGUACUUCAGCAAGAGAGACCAACACACAACACUUACUGACGAGGCUGCCAUCGCAGCACCGGCGACCCACGGCGGCAGACGGACUCUGGUAGACGGGAACAGAGCUCCAGCAGCAACAGGCAUUCCAAUAAUGUUGUAUCCAAGAGCCCAUACAUAGUUCAUUCGGAUUCGGGAGAAAGUCUUUCUCGAGAGGUCGAUCGCCGUUAUCACGUCCUCCAGAUUACUCUUCAUGAGGACAAUGUCAGCUGCUUCUAUGGCGAUAUCGGUGCCUGCACCUAUCGCGAUUCCAACAUCGGCAGAUACGAGCGCAGGUGAG